rnacentral:rRNA from 1 species
GACGAACGCUGGCGGCGUGCUUAACACAUGCAAGUCGAACGGUGAAGCUCCAGCUUGCUGGAGUGGAUCAGUGGCGAACGGGUGAGUAACACGUGAGCAACCUGCCCCUGACUCUGGAAUAAGCGCUGGAAACGGCGUCUAAUACAGGAUACGAAACUGGCCCGCAUGGGCAUGGUUUGGAAAGUUUUUCGGUUUGGGAUGGUCUCGCGGCGUAUUAGCUUGUUGGUGAGGUAGUGGCUCACCAAGGCGACGACGGGUAGCCGGCCUGAGAGGGCGAAAGGCCACACUGGAACUGAGACACGGUCCAGACUCCUACGGGAGGCAGCAGUGGGGAAGAUUCGGCAAUGGGCGAAAGCCUGACGGAGCCAUGCCGCGUGAGUGAGGAAGGCCUUCGGGUUGUAAAGCCCUUUUAUUGGGGAAGAAAAAAAGUGGGUGAAAACACGGAUGUCCUGACGGUACCUAAUGAGAAAGCACCGGCUAACUACGUG